CUGAGAUGCCCUUUGCCAAUAGGGUUGACAGGAGGAUCUGGUGGUUGACCAUAUCAAAAGAAGUGGACAGAUCCAGCUAGUUAAGUAAUGGAGAUUUGGAAACCGCUCUUGCCAGUCUUAGGGCUUCAACAACUGAGAGCAAGGCAGUCUCGGUUUAAUGUCCACUUCUGAAACCAGACUGGUUGCUGUCGAGGAGGUUGUUCUGUGUGAGAAAGGCAGAGACUUGGUUGAACACAACUCGUUCAAGAGUUUUUGCUAUGAAAGGAAGAAGGGAAAAGAGUUCUUUAAAAGAGUUGGGUUAAGAGUGGGUUUCUUAAGUAGUGGGGUUAUACGAGCCUGUCUAAAUGUUGAGGGAAAAACACCAGUGUGAAUGAGAUGAAAUAUGAUGAGAUGAAAUAGAAUCAAGUGGACAAGUAGUAGGAUGAUUUAGGAAGGAUGAGUUUAGAGACUUCUGACUCAGAGAGUGGAGAGAAGGAUGUGAAAGAGUGUAUGUUUGUUGGUAAGAUGUGUUUGACAGUUUGAGUAAGAGAUGCUAACUGUUUAGAGCGAGGAAGCGAAGAUGAAAGUAAAACAGAGAGCCUGGAGGGUGAAUGUGAGCCUAGUUUACAUCGAAAGAUGACAUGCGGAGGGGUAUGUGUUGUGUCAGGAACCAUGUUGAGGUUAAGAGUGAGCAGGAAGUGAUCUCAGGUGUGCAGUGGGGUAACCAGCACAUGAUCAGUGGAGCAGUGUCCUGAGAAUUAAUGAGAAAUUAUUGAAUUAAAUUAAAGAUUAUUAAAUAUAUAAUUAUCAUUGUAAUGCAUGGGGUGGGACUGAGAACCAUGAACGUGAGGCUUGGUGGCUCCCACGGCUCUCAGCCCCUCCCCUCUUGUCCCAAAAAUUCUAAGUGAAAGUGACGUGACGUGACGUGACCAAGUAUGGUUACCCAUACUCGGAAUUUGUGUUCUGCAAUUAACCCAUACAAAUUGCACACACACAGCAGUGAACGAAUGAACACACAGUGCAAAUGACAACUGAGCCACCUAUGAACCUUGAUCAGUCUCAAGAAACUUGGAUGAAGAAGAACAAACAUUUCCCAUCCACCAAUUCCAAAUGAUUUUCUGUUCCACAAAAAAAAAAAAACAUGUUACCCCCAAAAAAGGAUCCACAAGUAUGUGACACAGAGCAAGAAAUGUUCAAGUUUUGAUGCAUGUCAGCUUCCUGCAAAGGUACUCAAUGUAGAGGAAGAGGUAAUGAAAUCAUUAUACAAAAAUGAAAACUAUUUAUUUAUUGCAUAUAUUAAGGUACACUAUUAUUUACUGUAUGAACUGCAUGUAAUUAUAGGUCGACAUGCUAUGGAAGAAGCCACCUACAGAGUUGAUAAGUCUCCUAGCCAGAAUCUGGAGUACCUGUUACAUCCCAAGGAAUUCCAAACACUGAGGCCACAUGAGAGCAGUCAACUUUGAGCAAUAUGAUGGGCUCAUCACUUUCGUAAAUAUCAACAACAUACACUAGAGGUUUGCGUGACUACAUGCUUACACUGACACCAUUUUUAAUACUUGACCCUCAAAGUGGUACAAAUUAAAUGAAAGAAGCCAAAAAAGCCUGCAAAUAACUUUGGUAGGACAGUUUGUUUUAAAAAGUAAUUUGGCUUGUUUAGCUCCACAACAUUAAUGAUGGUAAAUUACCAUAGUUGGUGUUGCUUAAAACCACAAUAAACACACACACUGCAUUUUUCCAAAAACAGAGAAUUUUUCCAAAUGAGAAAAAACAAGUAUGGAAGAGAGGACUUGGUGAGUACCAAGUGGAAACCUGGCACAAUCCAACAUUCAUUUCAGGAGGAUGGUUCCAGCUGUGGUGUCUUUGUGAUGCUGAUGGCGAAACCGGUGGUGGAAGAGUUCCCAAAAAUUCCUGACAGCAUUAAUAUAAGGAGAUGAUGUGCCACUACAGGAAAAAUGUGGCCAAUGAAAUUUUGCUGGCAUCAGUGUGAAGAGAGGAGUACUGCUCUGUGUGUGGAGAAAAAGAAAGAGCCCAAACAGAGGAGCAAUGCAUCUGGAUUCAAUGUGAAUUAUGCCAGAGGUAGUUUCAUGUUCAGUGCCUCAACAUUAAUCUGCUACCAGAAGAACAAGCAUGGAUUUGUGAUGUGUGUUUGUAAGCUAUUUAGUUAGAGGAGCUGAUGCUGAAAGUGUGUUUAAAUUGUAAGAAAAUUGUUUUGCACUGAUAAGGGACAACGCAAACUAUGAAAACAUAUUUUAUUACAUAAACAGUUUAUACAUAGAAAAUACUUAAAUUUUCGAAUUCAUCAAAAUAUCCACCAUUAGCAGCUGAAAACCUGGGCCAAGUUUAAACCAGUAACCAGGCAUCACAGCUGGCAAAGGGGCAUGUCUGACUUUGACAUGUAUAUAUUGCCAUUAUUAUGUAAUCAAAAUGAAAAUUAUUAUUGCUGGUCUUCAAUGAUAAUGUCAAGUUACUUUAAUGUACAGUAUUUGCACCAACAAAAAAUUAUAAGGAUUUAUUCUGAUGUCAUCCAAAAUAACCACACUUUGCCAGG